GACGAACGCUGGCGGCGUGCUUAACACAUGCAAGUCGAACGGAAAGGCCCUGCUUGCAGGGUACUCGAGUGGCGAACGGGUGAGUAACACGUGGGUGAUCUGCCCUGCACUUCGGGAUAAGCUUGGGAAACUGGGUCUAAUACCGGAUAGGAGCCAUCUUUAGUGUGGUGGUUGGAAAGUUUUUUCGGUGUAGGAUGAGCUCGCGGCCUAUCAGCUUGUUGGUGGGGUAAUGGCCUACCAAGGCGGCGACGGGUAGCCGGCCUGAGAGGGUGUACGGCCACAUUGGGCCUGAGAUACGGCCCAGACUCCUACGGGAGGCAGCAGUGGGGAAUAUUGCACAAUGGGCGCAAGCCUGAUGCAGCGACGCCGCGUGGGGGAUGAAGGCCUUCGGGUUGUAAACUCCUUUCGCUAGGGACGAAGCUUUGUUGUGACGGUACCUAGAUAAGAAGCACCGGCUAACUACGUG
rnacentral:rRNA from 1 species